rnacentral:rRNA from 1 species
GAGGAGCUUGCUCUUCUUGGAUGAGUUGCGAACGGGUGAGUAACGCGUAGGUAACCUGCCUGGUAGCGGGGGAUAACUAUUGGAAACGAUAGCUAAUACCGCAUAAAAUUGAUUAUUGCAUGAUAGUCAAUUGAAAGGUGCAACUGCACCACUACCAGAUGGACCUGCGUUGUAUUAGCUAGUUGGUGGGGUAACGGCUCACCAAGGCGACGAUACAUAGCCGACCUGAGAGGGUGAUCGGCCACACUGGGACUGAGACACGGCCCAGACUCCUACGGGAGGCAGCAGUAGGGAAUCUUCGGCAAUGGACGGAAGUCUGACCGAGCAACGCCGCGUGAGUGAAGAAGGUUUUCGGAUCGUAAAGCUCUGUUGUAAGAGAAGAACGAGUGUGAGAGUGGAAAGUUCACACUGUGACGUAUCUACCAGAAAGGACG